ensembl:misc_RNA Metazoa_SRP Metazoan signal recognition particle RNA
GCCAGGCAUGGUGGUGCAUGCCUGUAAUCCCAGCUACUCGGGAGGCUGAGGCACGAGAAUUGCUUGAACCCAGGAGUCCGGAGGUUGCAGUGAGCCGAGAUCACACCACUGCACUCCAGCCUGGGCGACAGAGCAAGACUCUGUCUCAA